AACGAACGCUGGCGGCAGGCUUAACACAUGCAAGUCGAGCGCCCCGCAAGGGGAGCGGCAGACGGGUGAGUAACGCGUGGGAAUCUACCCAUCUCUACGGAAUAACGCAUGGAAACGUGUGCUAAUACCGUAUACGUCCUUCGGGAGAAAGAUUUAUCGGAGAUGGAUGAGCACGCGUUGGAUUAGCUAGUUGGUGGGGUAAAGGCCUACCAAGGCGACGAUCCAUAGAUGGUCUGAGAGGAUGAUCAGCCACACUGGGACUGGGACACGGCCCAGACUCCUACGGGAGGCAGCAGUGGGGAAUAUUGGAAAAUGGGCGCAAGCCUGAUCCAGCCAUGCCGCGUGAGUGAUGAAAGCCCUAGGGUUGUAAAGCUCUUUCACCGGUGAAGAUAAUGACGGUAACCGGAGAAGAAGCCCCGGCUAACUUCGUGCCAGCCGCCGCCGUAACAC
rnacentral:rRNA from 1 species